AUGGUCCGGACACAGAGGACAGGUUGCGGUGUGCAAUUGGAGCGGUCUUCCUGCAAGCCCUAACGAGACUUAUUAAGUGGUUUUAAAUACAGCAGCGGAGCGACCACGACGGUGCUACAAAAGACCCUAUAAUCAGUAUAAAGUCGAAAAUUAAAUACAAAUGCAGUUAUUCCAG